AAGAAAGUGACAGAGUGGCUAUGUGACUGGCUUGAAACUAGUCUAUGGGGGUUCGAUUCCUUCCUUUCUCG
rnacentral:tRNA from 2 species